UGAGGAAUAUUGCGCAAUGGGGGAAACCCUGACGCAGCGACGCCGCGUGAGUGAUGAAGGCCUUCGGGUUGUAAAGCUCUGUCAGAGGGAAAGAAAGGGGAUGCGGAAUAAUACCCGCAGCCAUUGACGGUACCCUCGGAGGAAGCACCGGCUAACUCCGUGCCAGCAGCCGCGGUAAUACGGAGGGUGCAAGUGUUAUUCGGAAUCACUGGGCGUAAAGAGCACGUAGGCGGAUGGGUAAGGCAGAUGUGAAAUCCCGGGGCUCAACUUCGGAACUGCAUUUGAUACUGCCCGUCGUGAGUGUGGUAGAGGGGGAUGGAAUUCCCGGUGUAGAGGUGAAAUUCGUAGAUAUCGGGAGGAACACCAGAGGCGAAGGCGAUCUACUGGAACAUUAUUGACGCUGAGACGCGAAAGCGUGGGGAGCAAACA
rnacentral:rRNA from 1 species